UCAGUGACGGGCAGGGACGGGGGCACCCUGGAGCUGUCGCUGGGCCCGGGGGGGCUGCGUUUGCUGGUGACAGAGAGGCCGUUCCGGAUGGAUCUGCUGCGGGACCGGGAGCUGCUCUGCAGCGUCAACGCCCGGGGCCUCCUCGUCUUCGAGCACCUGCGGCGCCGACGGGACUCGCUGGCGGAUAAAGUUAGUUCUGUGUGGGAUAAGAUCAAGAGCCUUUUCCGUAGGGACCCCCCCAAGGACCCCCCGAGCGAGGAGGGGGCGGCGCAGGAGGGGCCCGAGGACGGCGACGGCGGCAACCGCAGCCAGAAG